AACAGAAAAAGGCUAGGAGGUAUGCUAUGAAACUGCAUUCCAGGUAUUCCUCUUUGAUCCAUGCAGCCGAGAGGGAGAGUUUCCACACCGUGGUGGAUUUAGCACGGAGGAUGGAGGCUAGUGCCAUUAUACAGGGUACAGUGAAACAGCAGCCGGCACAGUCUUCUGGUUCUAAGACCCCAGGUAGGGGUAAGUCAGAUCCCUCUUCACAGGGUGCAGCAACUUCCAG
rnacentral:lncRNA from 1 species